GGGGGCGAUUGGAUUCGACCGGGUAGCAAGAAGUGAGGGUGGCGUGUCGUGGUUAGUCAGUUGGCCACGUUAAAAGCUGACUAAAAAUUUAGUUGCAGAUGCAAAUCUAGCAAUGGCAGCCUAGUUUAGGCUACCCUGGUUGAGGAGGUCCGCCGGAGACGUCCGACUGCCAGUCGCAAUUCCGGAUCGUUCUCUACCGCGCCUGGCACGUAGAGGAUUAAAAAAGCUCCUGGCUGGCCUGCGGUCGAGCUUCGUCGAUAGGCGCUGCGGCAGGUAAGAACCAAACCGUCGACUACACACGUAGAAGUUCUCAUGGAAAUAUCACGGGACGGGGGUUCGAUUCCCCCCGCCUCCACUG
rnacentral:tmRNA from 1 species